GUGCGAGCAGACAGGAGAAGGUCACCAGUAGAGCAGAGAGACCUAGAGGGGGCAUGCCUAUGAAUCAGUAUUUUAAAUUGACACCUGUAGGGUACAGGAAGCCAGUGCAAGGAUCGACAGAGGGGUGAGGUGUGAGAGGAGUGACAGGAGAGAAAGAUUAGCCAGGCAGCAGCAUUCAUCACAGAUUGUAGGUGGGCAGUACGGCUUCUGGGAAGACCAAUUAGGAGAGAAUUACAGUAAUCGAUGCAAUAGAUUACUAGAGCAUGAUAAAGCUCCUUGGCAGCAUCUUGCAUAAGAACGAGGCAUAUGCGAGCAAAGUUUUUAAGGUGGAAUCGACUGGUUUUAGCAACAAACUGGACAUGAGGCACAAAGGUGAGGCCAGGAUCAAAAAUGACACCAAGACAACGAGCUUGCAAAGAUGGGGUGAGGCAGGUACCAUCAACCUGCAGGGAGAGCGAAAGAGGAUGAUCAGU